CCUACGAGAGGCAGCAGUGAGGAAUAUUGGUCAAUGGACGAGAGUCUGAACCAGCCAAGUAGCGUGAAGGAUGACUGCCCUAUGGGUUGUAAACUUCUUUUAUAUGGGAAUAAAAUGUUCCACGUGUGGGAUUUUGUAUGUACCAUAUGAAUAAGGAUCGGCUAACUCCGUGCCAGCAGCCGCGGUAAUACGGAGGAUCCGAUCGUUAUCCGGAUUUAUUGGGUGUAAAGGGAGUGUAGGUGUAUUGUUAAGGUAGUUGUGAAAGUUUGCGGCUCAACCGUAAAAUUGCAGUUGAAACUGGCAGUCUUGAGUACAGUAGAGGUGAGCGGAAUUCGUGGUGUAGCGGUGAAAUGCUUAGAUAUCACGAAGAACUCCGAUUGCGAAGGCAGUUCACUGGACUGCAACUGACACUGAGGCUCGAAAGUGUGGGUAUCAAACAGGAUUAGAUACCCUUGUAGUC
rnacentral:rRNA from 1 species